CCUACGGGAGGCUGCAGUGGGGAAUAUUGGUCAAUGGGCGCGAGCCUGAACCAGCCAAGUAGCGUGAAGGAUGACUGCCCUACGGGUUGUAAACUUCUUUUAUACAGGGAUAAAGUGCGGCACGUGUGCCUUUUUGUAUGUACUUUAUGAAUAAGGAUCGGCUAAUUCCGUGCCAGCAGCCGCGGUAAUACGGAGGGUCCGAGCGUUAUCCGGAUUUAUUGGGUUUAAAGGGAGCGUAGAUGGGAUGUUAAGCCUGUUGUGAAAGUUUGCGGCUCAACCGUAAAAUUGCAAUGGAUACUGGCAGUCUUGAGUACAGGUGAGGUAGGCGGAAUUCGUGGUGUAGCGGUGAAAUGCUUAGAUAUCACGAAGAACUCCGAUUGCGAAGGCAGCUUACGAAACUGCCACUGACAUUGAUGCUCGAAAGUGUGGGUAUCAAACAGGAUUAGAUACCCCAGUAGUC
rnacentral:rRNA from 1 species